GAUGAACGCUGGCGGCGUGCUUAACACAUGCAAGUCGAACGAUGAAGCCCAGCUUGCUGGGUGGAUUAGUGGCGAACGGGUGAGUAACACGUGAGUAACCUGCCCUUAACUCUGGGAUAAGCCUGGGAAACUGGGUCUAAUACCGGAUAGGAGCGUCCACCGCAUGGUGGGUGUUGGAAAGAUUUAUCGGUUUUGGAUGGACUCGCGGCCUAUCAGCUUGUUGGUGAGGUAGUGGCUCACCAAGGCGACGACGGGUAGCCGGCCUGAGAGGGUGACCGGCCACACUGGGACUGAGACACGGCCCAGACUCGUACGGGAGGCAGCAGUGGGGAAUAUUGCACAAUGGGCGCAAGCCUGAUGCAGCGACGCCGCGUGAGGGAUGACGGCCUUCGGGUUGUAAACCUCUUUCAGUAGGGAAGAAGCGAAAGUGACGGUACCUGCAGAAGAAGCACCGGCUAACUACGUG
rnacentral:rRNA from 1 species